rnacentral:tRNA from 1 species
GGGCACAUGGAGGUAACAGGCAACCUCGGUCGAGUCGACACCGGCAAUUACGGGUUCAAAUCCCGUUGUGUCCA